rnacentral:rRNA from 1 species
GGACUACAAGGGUUUCUAAUCCCGUUUGCUCCCCUGGCUUUCGUGCCUCAGCGUCAGGAAAUGUCUAGAGACUCGCCUUCGCCACUGGUGUUCCACUUGAUAUCUACGCAUUUCACUGCUACACCAAGUAUUCCAGUCUCCCCUCCAUUCCUCGAGCCGGAUAGUAUCCGAUGCAGUUUCCAAGUUAGGCUUGGAGAUUUCACAUCAGACUUACCCGGCCGCCUACGCACCCUUUACGCCCAGUGAAUCCGAACAACGCUUGGGACCUCUGUAUUACCGCGGCGGCUGGCAC